rnacentral:rRNA from 1 species
UACGUAGGGUGCGAGCGUUGUCCGGAAUUAUUGGGCGUAAAGAGCUCGUAGGCGGUGUGUCACGUCGGCCGUGAAAACCUGCAGCUUAACUGUGGGCGUGCGGUCGAUACGGGCAUCACUGGAGUUCGGCAGGGGAGACUGGAAUUCCCGGUGUAGCAGUGAAAUGCGUAGAUAUCGGGAGGAAUACCGAUGGCGAAGGCAGGUCUCUGGGCUGACACUGACGCUCAUGCACGAAAGCGUGGGUAGCAAACAGG